rnacentral:rRNA from 1 species
CUUAAAGGAAUUGACGGGGCCCGCACAAGCGGUGGAGUAUGUGGUUUAAUUCGAUGCAACGCGAAGAACCUUACCUGGGCUUGACAUCCCGAGAAUCCCCUGGAAACAGGGGAGUGCCUUUCGGGGAACUCGGAGACAGGUGCUGCAUGGCUGUCGUCAGCUCGUGUCGUGAGAUGUUGGGUUAAGUCCCGCAACGAGCGCAACCCUUGUCUUUAAUUGCCAGCAUUCAGUUGGGCACUUUAAAGAGACUGCCGGUGUUAAGCCGGAGGAAGGUGGGAUGACGUCAAGUCCUCAUGGCCUUUAUGCCCAGGGCUACACACGUGCUACAAUGGGUGGUACAAAGAGAUGCCAACUCGCGAGAGCGCGCCAAUCUCAGAAAGCCAUCCUCAGUUCGGAUUGGAGUCUGCAACUCGACUCCAUGAAGUUGGAAUCGCUAGUAAUCGCGGAUCAGCACGCCGCGGUGAAUACGUUCCCGGGCCUU